rnacentral:rRNA from 1 species
UCAAGUGAAGAAGCGCAUACGGUGGAUGCCUUGGCAGUCAGAGGCGAUGAAAGACGUGGUAGCCUGCGAAAAGCUUCGGGGAGUCGGCAAACAGACUGUGAUCCGGAGAUGUCUGAAUGGGGGAACCCAGCCAUCAUAAGAUGGUUAUCUUGUACUGAAUACAUAGGUGCAAGAGGCGAACCAGGGGAACUGAAACAUCUAAGUACCCUGAGGAAAAGAAAUCAACCGAGAUUCCCUUAGUAGUGGCGAGCGAACGGGGACCAGCCCUUAAGUUGUAUUGAGAUUAGCGGAACGUUCUGGAAAGGACGGCCAUAGUGGGUGAUAGCCCUGUACGCGAAAAUCCCUUUGCAAUGAAAUCGAGUAGGACGGGGCACGAGAAACCUUGUCUGAAUAUGGGGGGACCAUCCUCCAAGGCUAAAUACUACUGACUGACCGAUAGUGAACCAGUACCGUGAGGGAAAGGCGAAAAGAACCGCGGAGAGCGGAGUGAAAUAGAUCCUGAAACCGUAUGCGUACAAGCAGUGGGAGCCCACUUUGUUGGGUGACUGCGUACCUUUUGUAUAAUGGGUCAGCGACUUAUUUUCAGUGGCGAGCUUAACCGAAUAGGGGAGGCGUAGCGAAAGCGAGUCUUAAUAGGGCGUCUAGUCGCUGGGAAUAGACCCGAAACCGGGCGAUCUAUCCAUGGGCAGGUUGAAGGUUGGGUAACACUAACUGGAGGACCGAACCGACUACCGUUGAAAAGUUAGCGGAUGACCUGUGGAUCGGAGUGAAAGGCUAAUCAAGCUCGGAGAUAGCUGGUUCUCCUCGAAAGCUAUUUAGGUAGCGCCUCAUGUAUCACUGUAGGGGGUAGAGCACUGUUUCGGCUAGGGGGUCAUCCCGACUUACCAAACCGAUGCAAACUCCGAAUACCUACAAGUGCCGAGCAUGGGAGACACACGGCGGGUGCUAACGUCCGUCGUGAAAAGGGAAACAACCCAGACCGUCAGCUAAGGUCCCAAAGUCAUGGUUAAGUGGGAAACGAUGUGGGAAGGCUUAGACAGCUAGGAGGUUGGCUUAGAAGCAGCCACCCUUUAAAGAAAGCGUAAUAGCUCACUAGUCGAGUCGGCCUGCGCGGAAGAUGUAACGGGGCUCAAACCAUGCACCGAAGCUACGGGUAUCAUCUUAUGAUGAUGCGGUAGAGGAGCGUUCUGUAAGCCUGUGAAGGUGAGUUGAGAAGCUUGCUGGAGGUAUCAGAAGUGCGAAUGCUGACAUGAGUAACGACAAUGGGUGUGAAAAACACCCACGCCGAAAGACCAAGGUUUCCUGCGCAACGUUAAUCGACGCAGGGUUAGUCGGUCCCUAAGGCGAGGCUGAAAAGCGUAGUCGAUGGAAAACAGGUUAAUAUUCCUGUACUUCUGGUUAUUGCGAUGGAGGGACGGAGAAGGCUAGGCCAGCCUGGCGUUGGUAGUCCAGGUUUAAGGUGGUAGGCUGAGAUCUUAGGUAAAUCCGGGAUUUUAAGGCCGAGAGCUGAUGACGAGUGUUCUUUUAGAACAUGAAGUGGUUGAUGCCAUGCUUCCAAGAAAAGCUUCUAAGCUUCAGGUAACCAGGAACCGUACCCCAAACCGACACAGGUGGUUGGGUAGAGAAUACCAAGGCGCUUGAGAGAACUCGGGUGAAGGAACUAGGCAAAAUGGCACCGUAACUUCGGGAGAAGGUGCGCCGGUGAGGGUGAAGCAUUUACUGCGUAAGCCCACGCCGGUCGAAGAUACCAGGCCGCUGCGACUGUUUAUUAAAAACACAGCACUCUGCAAACACGAAAGUGGACGUAUAGGGUGUGACGCCUGCCCGGUGCCGGAAGGUUAAUUGAUGGGGUUAGCGCAAGCGAAGCUCUUGAUCGAAGCCCCGGUAAACGGCGGCCGUAACUAUAACGGUCCUAAGGUAGCGAAAUUCCUUGUCGGGUAAGUUCCGACCUGCACGAAUGGCGUAACGAUGGCGGCGCUGUCUCCACCCGAGACUCAGUGAAAUUGAAAUCGCUGUGAAGAUGCAGUGUAUCCGCGGCUAGACGGAAAGACCCCGUGAACCUUUACUAUAGCUUUGCACUGGACUUUGAAUUUGCUUGUGUAGGAUAGGUGGGAGGCUUUGAAGCGUGGACGCCAGUCUGCGUGGAGCCAACCUUGAAAUACCACCCUGGCAACUUUGAGGUUCUAACUCAGGUCCGUUAUCCGGAUCGAGGACAGUGUAUGGUGGGUAGUUUGACUGGGGCGGUCUCCUCCUAAAGAGUAACGGAGGAGUACGAAGGUGCGCUCAGACCGGUCGGAAAUCGGUCGUAGAGUAUAAAGGCAAAAGCGCGCUUGACUGCGAGACAGACACGUCGAGCAGGUACGAAAGUAGGUCUUAGUGAUCCGGUGGUUCUGUAUGGAAGGGCCAUCGCUCAACGGAUAAAAGGUACUCCGGGGAUAACAGGCUGAUACCGCCCAAGAGUUCAUAUCGACGGCGGUGUUUGGCACCUCGAUGUCGGCUCAUCACAUCCUGGGGCUGAAGCCGGUCCCAAGGGUAUGGCUGUUCGCCAUUUAAAGUGGUACGCGAGCUGGGUUUAGAACGUCGUGAGACAGUUCGGUCCCUAUCUGCCGUGGACGUUUGAGAUUUGAGAGGGGCUGCUCCUAGUACGAGAGGACCGGAGUGGACGAACCUCUGGUGUUCCGGUUGUCACGCCAGUGGCAUUGCCGGGUAGCUAUGUUCGGAAAAGAUAACCGCUGAAAGCAUCUAAGCGGGAAACUUGCCUCAAGAUGAGAUCUCACUGGAACCUUGAGUUCCCUGAAGGGCCGUCGAAGACUACGACGUUGAUAGGUUGGGUGUGUAAGCGCUGUGAGGCGUUGAGCUAACCAAUACUAAUUGCCCGUGAGGCUUGACCAU